GAAUUCUAUAGCCAGCAAAGCAAUCCUUCAAAAUUGAAGGCAAAAUUAAUACAUUUCCAGGUUUCAAGGAGAUUCAAAACCUUUGUCACUGCUGCUGUCUUCCCAGAAGCUCCUUAAAUCCUCUUGAUUUCAUCACAUUAGUUGCAGUACACUCUGCCCGUGCAUGUGAAGCUGCAGAGGGCCGGAGAGGAUGGUUUCCUUUGCCUUCAAAACCACAAGCAAGAAUGCCACAGGAUCCAAGGAGCAAAAAUGAUUUGGAAGACGACAAGGUUGAGCCAGGGACAGCCAGUGUUACUGAUGACACAUGGGCAAGGUUUCCUGGCCAGUCUCUUUUGGGGACUGUGAUUUCCCAAGCAAAUGUCACUUGGUGACAAGGACUCCCAC
rnacentral:lncRNA from 1 species